GAUGAACGCUGGCGGCGUGCCUAAUACAUGCAAGUCGAGCGAACAGACGAGGAGCUUGCUCCUCUGACGUUAGCGGCGGACGGGUGAGUAACACGUGGAUAACCUACCUAUAAGACUGGGAUAACUUCGGGAAACCGGAGCUAAUACCGGAUAAUAUAUUGAACCGCAUGGUUCAAUAGUGAAAGACGGUUUUGCUGUCACUUAUAGAUGGAUCCGCGCCGCAUUAGCUAGUUGGUAAGGUAACGGCUUACCAAGGCAACGAUGCGUAGCCGACCUGAGAGGGUGAUCGGCCACACUGGAACUGAGACACGGUCCAGACUCCUACGGGAGGCAGAAGUAGGGAAUCUUCCGCAAUGGGCGAAAGCUUGAAGGAGCAACGCCGCGUGAGUGAUGAAGGUCUUCGGAUCGUAAAACUCUGUUAUUAGGGAAGAACAAAUGUGUAAGUAACUAUGCACGUCUUGACGGUACCUAAUCAGAAAGCCACGGCUAACUACGUG
rnacentral:rRNA from 1 species